rnacentral:lncRNA from 1 species
GUAGAUUCAAAUAGAGUGGCUACGCCACUUCCUUCUUUGUUUCUUUUGAUUUCCUUGUUGAACUUUUCUUCCUCUCCUUUAUGGUGGCUGUCCCUUUUUUUAAAAACCCUUUGUUCGUUGUCGUUGUUUGCCUCACUGAGCCCAUGGAACCAAAACCAACCUGUUGCCUUCAUCUUUUUUUGGUUUUGUUUUCUUUCAUCCGUAUGCCAACAACACCCUUCUCCAAA